rnacentral:rRNA from 1 species
CAGCCGCCACGGUAAUACGUAGGGUGCAAGCGUUAAUCGGAAUUACUGGGCGUAAAGCGUGCGCAGGCGGUUUGUUAAGACAGAUGUGAAAUCCCCGGGCUUAACCUGGGAACUGCAUUUGUGACUGGCAAGCUAGAGUAUGGCAGAGGGGGGUGGAAUUCCGCGUGUAGCAGUGAAAUGCGUAGAUAUGCGGAGGAACACCGAUGGCGAAGGCAGCCCCCUGGGCCAAUACUGACGCUCAUGCACGAAAGCGUGGGGAGCAAACGGGAUUAGAUACCCCAGUAGUCCCUGUCUCUUAUAC